GGAUGUGAGGGCGAUCUGGCUGCGACAUCUGUCACCCCAUUGAUCGCCAGGGUUGAUUCGGCUGAUCUGGCUGGCUAGGCGGUGUCCCUUCUCCUCACGCUCCAUGUGCGUCCUCCGAGUGCGCGCUCGGUCGAAGAGGAGACCAUCCCCGAUAGAGGAGGACCGUUCUUCGGUCAAGGGUAUACGAGUAGCUGCGCUCCCCUGCUAGAACCUCCAAACAAGCUCUCAAGAAACAAAUAUUUUCAUUUCAAAGGGAAAGAUCCUUAAAUAUGUAAAUAUAGUCAUCCCUCAGUAUGGGGGAGAAUUUGUU
rnacentral:snRNA from 1 species